UAACAGCUGAAUUUCCUGUUGUUUCUUUUUCCCCUCGUAGAGGCCGAUGUCAUCACAGCCACAUAGCAGAACAAUUUCCCACAGCAAUGGAAGUUCUGUGAUGGCAUUGGGAUUACAAAUGCUGAGAAAGCCUGUCUCCGAUCAACCAGAAAGAGAAUGCUCUACAACUUCAAGUUCUGGAGGCCAGAAGUCCCAAAUCAAGGUGUCAGGAGGAUUGGCUUGAAGUCACAUCUGAACUGUGCUAACUGGGAGGGGCAGCUGCUGCAAAGAAGAGCAAUACUCAUCAGAAGGAGGGGAACAGAGGCAGCUGAGCAGGCUCAAACACCGGACAAACACUGUGGGGAGGAAGGCGCUGAGUUCCACUUGGACGUGCUGAGUUGUGAUGCAGCUGGUGAGACGCCCAAGCGUGAUGUCCCCUGUCCAUCAAAUUUGGCAGCAGGUGUAUUGUUUUUAACUUUAGCAAGAACACUUUCUGUGGAGUGUGGGGCACAAGGACUAUCAAAGGGAGUUGAGGAGUGAUUGGGAAGUGAGGAAAGUUGAAGCGGGGCCGAUCAGAAGCCAGAGAAUUAGGGUCUGUUCGGGAACAUUCUCAGCUCUGAGGACAGUGUUGCUCAGGCAGCUUUUCAGGACCGGAGGCAAUGCCCUAAAGCGGUACUUCUCAAAGGCUGGUACCCAGCCCAGCAGCAUCCAGCAUCUGGGAACUUACUGGAGAAGGGAAAUUUGCGGACCCACCCAAGACCUAAUGAAUCACAAACUCUAGGGUGGAGCCCUCAAGUCUGUGUUUAAGAAGCCCUCAAGGUGAUCCUGAUGCAGGCUAAGGCCUGAGAACUACGUCUCAGGAGCCUGGGAGAACAAGCCUGACAGAGCCACUGGGGCCCUGUCUCAGGGAGGCAUCUGUGUGUGGUGUUAGCAUGUUUACUCCAGCUGGGCUUGCUUGGAAGCAGAGAGUCUGGUUUGGGGUGGGGGUGAGUCAGGGUGUUGGGCCCAAGGGCAUGAAUUUUUGUAAAGCAAGCCAAUGAGAAAAGGGGCCGGUUCCCUUCCGGGGCAGGAUCCCUGCUGCUUAAGGAUGAACUACACCUGUUCUGAUCUUUCAAGCAGAUCAGCAGUCUGACAUCUUUCCACUCCUCUGAGCAAUACCAGAGGAAGGAGCUCUCUUGAAGGAUGGGGCUGGGGAUCAGCUGAAGCUGUCACCAAGUGGCAUUUCUCACAAUAUUUGCAGAGCCCCUGGGAGAUGUUAACCAGAAACUCGGUUUGCUCUUUGACUUCAGUCUUUAUGGUUGAAAACCCUUCCAAAGUGGAUCUGUCUUUUUACCACUUUAGAGACUAGAACAAAAUCUAAAGUAGCCAAGUUGUGAAAUAUUUAUUAUCUUUACACUGCAGAGUGGGUUUAAGAUGAGCUCUCCGAUAUUAUUGCUCCUACCCUCUUGCAUUCUGAUUUGUUUCCUUGAAAGGGAGAGAUUGGGUUGCAUGGAGUUGCUGCUGACUGCUGGGAUUUGCGUGUGACCCCCACCCCACAUUAUCGAUGGCACACUCUGUUACGUGUGUCUGCAUCUGAUUUCCCCUUAAUGGCUGUACAUGCAUGUCAUCUGUCCAGUGGGCAGAUAACAGGAAGUAUGGCACAGUGUAAACACAAUGAAGGCAGGGCUGGUUAGUUCACGGUUUUACCUCUAAAACCUAGAACUACAACAGCACCCAGUAAACAUUGUUGAAUGAAUGAAUGAAAGAACGUGGUUAUUAUAAUUGGAUUUGGGAUCAUCUUAGAAUCUAUGGGUCUAAGGGUUGCCAUUCUGAGCAUUAAUCCUCACUAUCUGGGACCAUAAACUUACUAAUCUUACUAAUCCUGGUAACUUCUGGAAAAAGCUUUCAGAAAAAUUUUGCAGAAAUCCUUGAAAUUACCUUUUUAUGUAGUUUUCUCUUUUUUCACGAAAGAAGAGGACAAUAUCAAAAUGGAGGGUGUUGGUGAUAGGAUUGGAUUACUCCAAUUCUUCUCUUCCCCCUCCCCCUUGGAAUGUAUCCCGUCUUUGCCACGUUGCUCUAUAGUGCCCCCUACCGGAGGGAUCAGACUAUAUUUCCCCAUCCACUGAUGUUGGACUUGGCAUGACUUAUUUUGGCCAGUGGAAUUUACUAGUAGACAUGAGAUGAGCAGAGACUUUAAAUGUGCUCCUGUAGUUGGCUUGGCUUCUUGUCCUGUCCUCCACCAUGAGAACUGACCUGGGCAUCUUCCGGUCCAAGGAAAAUGAGAGAAAUGUGGAGUGGACCUGAUCCCAAUCUGCAGCCCAGCACAGAGCUGUCCCAGCAGUCCCACACACCUGGGAGGAAGAAAAAGAAAUGCUUCUGAUAUGCCAUAGAGAUUUUGGAGUCAUUUGUUAUGCAGCAUUCACACAGCAGAAGCCCAACAAAUAACAUGUCCUUCAGGUGGAUCCUAGCAAACAGAUAUUUUACUGCAUUUUUUAAAACUUUUGGGGUGCUGAGGAUGACAAGAGACUAGAGAGGAGUUAAGAUGCUGAACAUUGGUGUUCAGUCCUAAUGCUCAAAUCAAGCCAGCAAGGACUAAACAAAGUACUAAACAGUGCUAAGCUGGAUAGCAUUAAAGAGAUCUUAUUCUAGUUAUCUCUGGUUUUUUAGAGGUCGUAAGUACCAGAUAGUAGCUCCCUGAAGAAGCAGCAGGAGGAAGAGGCCUCAUUUUUAGGAAUGCUCAUCCCAUGUUUUGGCGCAGGUGAACAUUGAAGCUACUGGCUCAUCAACCCCAGCAGCCCGGAGGAUUGUCACAAUAUCUAACAGCCCAUACAGAAAGGGCUCCAACUGCUCAAGGAGAGGCCCCGCUCCUGAGCCAUCUUCGGAGCAGAUGAGCUAUGAUCGGCAAUUUGGCGGGGGAGGGCCCCUCUUUUCCAAGAAUUCCAGCGAAGUCCCAAACCCAUCCUUUGAGCCAGGGUUGUUGAGUUGGACUCCCCCAGAAUGUGUGAUCCAAGAAUGAAAAGGGGAGGUUUCCAGUGACAGGUAGAAGAACGCUCCAGGGGUCUAUAUCCUAACGCUGAGAAACUAUGAAUAGGCUACAUGGCACGGGGGAAUUAAGGUUGCCAGUCAGCUCCUUCAACUAGGGAGAUGAUCCAGGUAAACCCGAUACAAGCAAUAGGAUUGUAAGUGGGAGAAGGAGGCAGAAGACGAGCAACCAGAGAGAUGGUAGUGAGAGAAGGACUUGGCCGGACGCUGCUGGCUUUGAAAAUGGAGGAACUGACUUCAGUUCCGUGAGACCUGUUUUGGACACCUGUGACCUCCAGAACCGUAAGAUAAUAAAUUUGUGUCGUUUUAAGGCACCGAGUUAGUGGUCAUGUGUUAUGGCAACAACAGAAAACGAAUACGUUCCCAAUAGGGAACUAGAGUGCUCUUCCCAAAAUGAGGGGAAAUGCCGGGCAGGUGAACAGAGAGACCAGAGCAGAUGUGUACUGUAGCCUGGGUCUCUAGUAUGUCUUGUUCUGUGGCUCUCUGGAUAUUUCCCCAGGGGGGACAGAAUAGCAUAUACUUUCCAAAGUGUUGUCGAUAGGAGCUUGCACCUGUUCCACAAAGCCAAAGCUCAUCGCACCUGUGAGUAAGAGCAGACAAGCCUGAGGGUGUUACCUCCAAAGGCAUUCUACACAGACUUGAAACCUGGUUCCUUCACUUACUGGCUGGGCAACCCUAGGCAGGUUACUUAACCUCUCUGUGCCUCAGUGAAAAGAGGAUGAUACCUAUCUAGCUGAUGGAGUUUUUAUGAGGAUUGAUGUUAGUACAUGUAACUAAGCAUCAUGGCUGGCAUAUGAUUAAGACUCGAAUAGUACUGGUUGCUAUUAGGGCUAACACUACUAGGUAGUCUGUGUAGUGAUUUGUAAGCCUUGGGUCUAGAGCCACAAUAUGGGGGGUCAAAGUUGGCUCUGUCACUUAGAACUUCUCUGCUUAGGCAAGUUAUCAGGCCCAAUUUUUUCUUGUGUAAAAUGAUGAUAUUAAAGUUACCUCCUUCAUAGAGUUGUGAUGAGGCAUUAAUCAAUUAACAGGCCUAAAGUCCUAGGACAAUGCCAGACAGGUCCGAUAAAUAUUCUCUGUCAUCAUCACCGUUCGCAGUUGUCCAGGGUCACCAUCGCUCUGAAUGAUGAAUAACGAAACAACCACCAUCAUUGAGUCAGUGGCUCCUCAUGGGACCAUGAAGACCUUUUCGGUUGGGAAGAACCGUGGUCUCCAUACUGGGGGAAUCACCAGAGCAACACCACCCCUCCUCCUCCAGGAGGUCAAAUCAUGGGGGAGAUGCACAUAUGAUAUAUAAAAAGAAAGGAAAGUGAAAAACUUAGUUGUCAGAAACACACAGUCAGGAGAGACUCAUAAAUGGGACAAAGGACACACGCCUGCCUCUCUUUUUUCUCUACUCUCUGAUUACGCAGCAUUGGACUUGCCUAUUGCCUUGGAUUCAGUGCUUUUACACUUUGUAACAUAGUCAGAACAUUAGGUUAAGGAACCUUGUCAUUUUCCUAUUCAAAGCUGUCCACUCAAUAAUACCAAGAAUUCCCACUCUGGUAGAUAAUGACAAGAAGUUAAGACAGCCCGCUAGUAAACAAGCAGAUCAUUUCAUGGCAGCAGCUGAUUUAAUCAAAACAUUCUGGUUCUCCCUCAUCUGAACCCACACAAGGACUGAACCAAUCCGAUUGGAAAAAAAUAUUUGUUUUAUCUUUGCUACAUUUAUUUACUCUUAGGGACUAUUUAACUUGAUCGGGCAGAGAAGCCGGAAAGAACGGAACCACUCGAGGCACUGAGCAGCCCUGUGUCUCUCCGGCACCGGGUGGAAUGGCUGGGGGUCCUUCCACACCGGCCUGUUCUCCAGCCACGUCUAGAAGUCCUUUGCCCUUGUCUUCAUGGGGGAGAAUUGCGCUGUUCGUGUGCCCAGUUUGGGGGGUGGGUGGGUGCAGAAUGGGAAUUAGAGAAAACAAGCCAGUAAUUUCACAGUUCUGCCCCGCCAUGUAAGUGAUUUCAAAAUACGAAAUAUUUUGUCCUUCCACAACAUUUUCUGACAAUUGUGUGUGUGUAAGGCAUGGCGAAGGUAUUACAGGAAGGCGAAGAUAAAUUAGAUCUGGAUUAAAUCCCAAGGAACGCCCAAAGUUCACAUGAUAGACACACGAAUACCUGUGAGGGGCCGAAAGCUACAGGUGUGUUCUAGGUUGGAGCCAGGAUCUCACAAAGAUGCUUGCUGCCUGUGAUACAAUAAAAAGUUCUAUACCUGGCACAGCGCUCCUAAAACCCUUAGAAAUGGGGUGGUGAACACAUCUACAUGCCGGAAGGGUGGCCUACCCUUAACCCUCGAGGCUCCUGCUCUUGGGAGCCUUUCACAUCUCACCCUAUGUACCUCUUCAUUUGGCUGUUCAUUUGUAUCCUCUAUAAUAAGCUUGAAGAGUAAGUGGAGCACUUUCCGAAGUUCUGUGAAUUGUUCUAGUAAAUAAUUGAACCCAGGUGGGGGGCAUUGUGGGGACCCCCGAAUUUUGUAGUCAGUUAAGCAGAAGUGCUGGUCACCUGGGGGCCCCACUUGCCACUGGCAUCUGAAGUGGGGGCAGUCUUGUGGGACUGAGCCCUUUAACUUGUAGGAUCUCAUGCUAACGAACUCCAGGUGUAGAUAGUAUUAGGAUUGAAUUGAAUUGUGGACACCCAGUAGGUGCUGGAGAAUUGGUUGGUGUUAGGAAAAACCAUGUAUUCAGUGUCAGGAGUGGAGUCAGAAAACACCAGUCAGUCUCACAAAAUUGCUCCAGCUUGAGGUAAGGGAGAUGAGCUUUUAUGCCCUGUAUCAGCUAGCCAUUGGCUAUAGGCUGCCCCCCGGGUAGAAUUACCUCCCAAAUAUUUCUGGGCAAGGUGGCUCCCACGGGUCAAGGGCAACUGUGCAGGGAAGGGUACAGCGGUAAGCCUGUAGCAGCUAAUCCUUGCAGCAGUCAUGGGCUGACUAGACCUGCUGGGGAAAAGGGGGUCUGGACAGGACACAACAGCACUGAUUACAAAGUUGCAUUCCAAGGAAGAUAGGAAACUGUGGGUGGAAGCUCCCAUGAGAUGCGAACUGAUCCACUGACAUCAGUAGGAGGUGAGGAGAUUCCUCAAAACAAUCAUCCAAGAAGCUCCUGCCUGAAGAUUCCAGUAAGACAUAGGUGAUUGUAUUAGCCAGCGUUGUC